rnacentral:rRNA from 1 species
AGGGUGUAAACGCUGCAGACUUGGUGUUGGAAGCCCUUUGGGGGCAUUCAGUGCCGGAGAGAAGUUGUUAAGUCUGCUACUUGGGGAGUACGUCCGCAAGGAUGAAACUUAAAGGAAUUGGCGGGGGAGCACCGCAACGGGGGGAGCGUGCGGUUUAAUUGGAUUCAACACCGUAAACUCACCAGGGAAGACUGUUACAUGAAGGCCGAGAUGAAGACUCUGCUAGAUUUUCAGAGAGGUGGUGCAUGGCGUCAGUGACU